rnacentral:rRNA from 1 species
GCCGCGUGGACGAUGAAGGCCCUCGGGUUGUAAAGUCCUGUCGAGGGGGAGGAAAGCCGUAAGGUCUGACCUAUCCCUGGAGGAAGCACGGGCUAAGUUCGUGCCAGCAGCCGCGGUAAGACGAACCGUGCGAACGUUGUUCGGAUUCACUGGGCUUAAAGGGCGCGUAGGCGGCUUGCCAAGUCAGAGGUGAAAGCUCACGGCUCAACCGUGAAAGUGCCUUUGAUACUGGCGAGCUUGAGGGAGGUAGGGGCACGUGGAACUUCCAGUGGAGCGGUGAAAUGCGUUGAUAUUGGAAGGAACGCCGGUGGCGAAAGCGACGUGCUGGCCCUCUUCUGACGCUGAGGCGCGAAAGCUAGGGGAGCGAACGGGAUUAGAUACCCCGGUAGUCCUAGCCCUAAACGUUGGGUACUAGGUAGUGGACUAAACAUGGGUUCACUGCCGAAGCAAAAGUGUUAAGUACCCCGCCUGGGGAGUAUGGUCGCAAGGCUGAAACUCAAAGGAAUUGACGGGGGCUCACACAAGCGGUGGAGCAUGUGGCUUAAUUCGAGGCUACGCGAAGAACCUUAUCCUGGACUUGACAUGUGCGAAAGCGCUAGGAAGUAGCUGCCCGAAAGGGUUCGCGAACGGUAUCCAGUCCGGAACCUAGUACGGGUGCUGCAUGGCUGUCGUCAGCUCGUGUCGCGAGAUGUUGGGUUAAGUCCCGUAACGAGCGAAACC